UACGAAGGGGGCUAGCGUUGCUCGGAAUUACUGGGCGUAAAGCGUGCGCAGGCGGUUUUGUAAGUCUGACGUGAAAUCCCCGGGCUUAACCUGGGAAUUGCGUUGGAGACUGCAAGGCUGGAGUCUGGCAGAGGGGGGUAGAAUUCCACGUGUAGCAGUGAAAUGCGUAGAGAUGUGGAGGAACACCGAUGGCGAAGGCAGCCCCCUGGGUCAAGACUGACGCUCAUGCACGAAAGCGUGGGGAGCAAACAGG
rnacentral:rRNA from 1 species